GAUGAACGCUGGCGGCGUGCCUAAUACAUGCAAGUCGAGCGAAUGGAUUAAGAGCUUGCUCUUAUGAAGUUAGCGGCGGACGGGUGAGUAACACGUGGGUAACCUGCCCAUAAGACUGGGAUAACUCCGGGAAACCGGGGCUAAUACCGGAUAACAUUUUGAACCGCAUGGUUCGAAAUUGAAAGGCGGCUUCGGCUGUCACUUAUGGAUGGACCCGCGUCGCAUUAGCUAGUUGGUGAGGUAACGGCUCACCAAGGCAACGAUGCGUAGCCGGCCUGAGAGGGUGAUCGGCCACACUGGGACGACGACACGGCCCAGACUCCUACGGGAGGCAGCAGUAGGGAAUCUUCCGCAAUGGACGAAAGUCUGACGGAGCAACGCCGCGUGAGUGAUGAAGGCUUUCGGGUCGUAAAACUCUGUUGUUAGGGAAGAACAAGUGCUAGUUGAAUAAGCUGGCACCUUGACGGUACCUAACCAGAAAGCCACGGCUAACUACGUGCCAGCAGCCGCUGUAA
rnacentral:rRNA from 1 species